GGCACACCGGGGGAGAGGCCAUUCCCUGUAAUGGGAGGGUGAGAAGGGAGACUGGAAAUCAGCACUAGGGGAUUAAGGCUGGGGAUUUUGGAAAGCUGCGUGGGACACUGUUAGGGCAGCUUGUGAACAGAUGAGUGAAGUAAGCAGAAAAUGCAGCAAACUGAGUGGUUACAGACUGACAGCAAGAGGGUGUCUCACUGUUCUUGCUUGUCUGCUAUGCUACAGAGAGGCUUGAGAUGGAGAUUAGCUAUUUAUCAGCUGCAUGGUGGAAUGAGAAACAGCUGCAACAUAUUUUGGGGCAGCAUCACCAAGGACCACAGGCUCUCCACAGGUGCCCAGGCACCCCUCUUCCCUGGCCUUCCCCUGGCACCUGGCAGCGCUGCCUGCCACACAGCUGGCACAUGCACCACAAGAGGGAGGUAGUCAUCGUAAAAUGGAUGGCAGUGGCGGGCUUCUGAUCCUCCGCGCAUGGAGCGAGAAACCUGUUUGAAUAAUUAAGGCUUCCUAGAUGUGACUACAGAUAAAAAUAGAGAAACAAUGCGGUUUUGGCAUGAGCGUAAUGCUCCAGCUCGGGCAGAGAAGGCUUUGCAUGGAACUCGACCAAAGAAAAAUUCACUCCGGGCACUUGUAUUACAGCUCCAUUUAGCGGAGCAGAACAACCAUGGCUCGUAUUAAGUAGAUAAUAAUGAAGCAUCAUAAACAAUGUCAGGAUGCGAGUCCAGGACGAAGCAGGAGCUUUAAUGAGGUCCAGCUUGCCGGGAGCUUUUUGAAGUGUCUCUAGUUCAGUUACAAAGCCAGAAAGCAACAAAGGCGACUCUGCCAGCUGUGCGAGUAUCUGGUUUAGGAGGAAGUUUUAUGUGCGGAUGACACCACGCUGGGAUUCAGCUUUCAUGUACUAACUAGCUCUGCUCGUUGCCUGAGCCCUGCAUAAACUCUCUCCCCAUAACAUGUCGCACAAAUAAUAAUUCUUGACAAAUCAGAUCCAUGCCACCGGCUCCCAGGAUAGACAAAGCUGGUUCAUUGUGGUAAAUAACAGGAGCCAGCAGGGUCCUUUCUGCCUAUCACUAGCCAUAUUUAAUAAGCAAUCUAGGCUGUGAAAGGAAGAAAUGAAACACUGGUUCUGUGGCAGUAUCGAUGGCACGAAGUAUUUGUA